ensembl:lncRNA
CUGAUGUCCAGGGGGAGCUGCCUGCAAAGGUCCUACUGAAUGUGGUGUGGAUAGGAGAGGCACAACUUGGUUUUGCCUGUGGCAGGGUCCCUUUAUGCUUCGUCGGAGACAGGGAACCAGAGGAAGGGAGCACAUAGAGGAACAGAAGAUAUUGAGCCAGGUAGAGAGAAAAGUUGAGGAAUGGAGUGAUUCUUGCGACAUAGGACAUUGGAGACAAUGCUCCAGGCUUAAUAGGUAAGAUAUGAGGUCUGUGGAGCUGGUCUCACCCAUUUCCCCCCCCCCCUUCCAGGUUCUUUCUCCAGUUCAUGAACUUACUCCAGUAAGAUCACAUCCCCAUAUGUUUGCAUGUCUACAAAUGCAUAUACGUCUCCCCAAAGAUCCAGUCGAUUCAAGAAACUUAAGCCCCAUAUUCCCCAAGUCCCCCCACCAUUGCAUCAAGAUUUCCAACUCCCUUUAUAGGCACCAUUGUCAACAGAUUCCCAGAGGCCUCAGUCCUGCCAGGAAGUUCCAUCUGCAAAUGUCUCAAAGACCCGAGGGUACCCAGGAACUUCAGUGCAGUCAAGGCUCCAAAAGCAUCCAUCGUCUGUGACAAACCGAUUCUCCAAAUGUCCCAAAGCCCACUCUUUCCUCCAGGAAUGCUAAUGCAAUGAAAUCUCCAAUGGCAUUGAGUCUCCCAGGGUUUCAAAAGCCUUUUAAAAUGUCAAUUCAGUGUGUGUUUUGAAACAAUCUCAGUGUGUGGAAUACAGGGAACAGACUCACCUGAAACCAACACUGCAUUAGUUUCCCCAAAUGUGACAUUGAGGCAUGAAGCACCACCACACCUCUCCCUUGCUGUAAAGAUUUCUUGGCAUGGACUGGUCCAGUGUGAGAGGUAUUAUGUGGACUCGGGAUGUAACUCUUUGUCCCCAAGUCCUCCUACGUGUCCAGACUCUCAUGCAUCCAUUGCCAGAGCUGCUCAGAAGUUGGAUGUAAGUACUGAGCAUCCUCUGGCCCUUUGGCUGCCACUUUGGUGGGAACUGGAGCCUCCAGAGAUGCUAAACCUUCAACCCCCGCUGGUUCCCUCUGGCCUUCAACUAUUGUGGUUUUCCCAGAGUCGGGAGUGGCCUCAGGGGCUUGACCACCAUGCAGGUCGUCUUGAGAACUUUACAUUGAACGUUCCAUGGCCUGAUCUUUAUGGAGAGAUGCUUCCAGACUGGCGUUGAAUUGGGGAAUCGAGCCCACAGUAGAUGUGCCUGGAGACUCGGACUCUAAGUUGGCAGAUGCAAGGACAGAUAAGUGACCACGGGAAUGUGUUGAUCGAGAAAAAGCCACUGGACUCUGGCACUUGAGAGCCCACAGGUAGGUGCUUGGAUCUCAGUUCAGGUCUUCUGCAAUAGCAGCAAGUGCUCUUCAUCGCUGAACUCUCUCUCUUGUUCCAUAGAGUAAUAAUGGUUUUAAAUCAUGUGCGAGAUUCCCAUGUCACAUCAUGUCACAGCCCAUGAU